rnacentral:rRNA from 1 species
GAUGAACGCUGGCUACAGGCUUAACACAUGCAAGUCGUGGGGAAACGGCAUUAUGUGCUUGCACAUUCUGGACGUCGACCGGCGCACGGGUGAGUAUCGCGUAUCCAACCUGCCCCUUACUUGGGGAUACCCCGUUGAAAGACGGCCUAAUACCCGAUGUGUUUCAUUGACGGCAUCCGAUAUGAAACAAAGGUUUUUCCGGUAAGGGAUGGGGAUGCGUCUGAUUAGCUAGUUGGCGGGGCAACGGCCCACCAAGGCGACGAUCAGUAGGGGUUCUGAGAGGAAGGUCCCCCACAUUGGAACUGAGACACGGUCCAAACUCCUACGGGAGGCAGCAGUGAGGAAUAUUGGUCAAUGGACGCAAGUCUGAACCAGCCAAGUAGCGUGCAGGAUGACGGCCCUAUGGGUUGUAAACUGCUUUUAUGUGGGAAUAAAGUGGCGCACGUGUGCGCCAUUGCAUGUACCUCAUGAAUAAGGACCGGCUAAUUCCGUGCCAGCAGCCGCGGUAAUACGGAAGGUCCGGGCGUUAUCCGGAUUUAUUGGGUUUAAAGGGAGUGUAGGCGGUCUGUUAAGCGUGUUGUGAAAUUUAGGUGCUCAACAUUUAACUUGCAGCGCGAACUGUCAGACUUGAGUACACGCAGCGCAGGCGGAAUUCAUGGUGUAGCGGUGAAAUGCUUAGAUAUCAUGAGGAACUCCGAUCGCGAAGGCAGCCUGCGGGAGUGUUACUGACGCUUAAGCUCGAAGGUGCGGGUAUCGAACAGG